GGAGGCAGAGGCAGGAGGAUGUCUGUGAGUUAAAGGCUAGCCUGGUCCACAGAGCUGCAUAGGGAGACCCUGUCUUGGGAAAAAAUAUAUAGAGACUGAGAGAGACAGAUCCACAAAAUCCCUGUAUAUAUGUGAAACUUACACUCUACUAGGGAAGAGUGGAAACAUAGACAUAAUAAACUCUUCCACCAGUUAUUAUUAAAUAUCAAAUAGUCCUAAAAUUUACUGGUAUAAAAUUAUGAUUCUUUUAUCACUCAUGAUUCAGGAAGGUGAUUGGCUAAGCUAAUGGUUCUCAUUUGUGUCUUAUCUGGUGGUUGGUGCUUCGGUCAUCUCAAAAGUUCCCUUACAUGUCUGGAAGCUGAUUGCACUGGACCACAGCUGGGGCUGUUGGUCAGAAUAUUUACAAGUAGCCUCUCCAUGGGACCUUUGCUUCCUCAUAUCAAAAUGACUAAAAUCUGAAACUGGGUGCCUCCAGGUGACCAGGCAGAAAUUGAUGGCUUUUGUGACCAGGACAUUUAUCUGCUUCCUAGAAAUGUGAUUUGUCUGUGCCCUGGGAGACACUUUUGACCCAUGAUAGCUAACAAAACUGUAUGAAUGAUGGUGCUGUGACUUCCAUGAAGAAAAAAAUAUGGAAGAAGAUGCUGAAUGUAAAAAUGGAGGCAUCUUUGGAGGAAUGGAUGAACAAACAGUAGGAUGUUAUUUAAUAUCUGGAAUGUCGAGAAGCCUAUAGGACCCCAAGGAUGACCAGGUAUCCCAGCUGCUUCAGUGAGUGGAACUGAUUGUCUUUGGCACUGAGGAAGAUUUCUACACCCCUGCAAAUAUGGUGGUUCUUUUGGAAAGCCUGGCCCUACACCAAUGACUAAUGCCUUGACUCUGAGUCAAGAAAUAUGCAGACCAGUCUGCAUAUUUUCAAGAACCUGUUCUGACUAGUCUCUAUGGUCAACCUAAUGCAACCAAGAGUCACCUGAGAAGAGGGAGUCUCAACCUAGGCAGUGCCCAGAUCAGACUGGCCUAUGGCUAUGUCUGUGGGAAAUUGUCAUGAAUGUUGACUGAUAUGGAAAGGCUUAGCCUACUGUUAGAAAUGCCACCAAUGGGCAGAUAGUCCUAGGGUGUAUAAGAAAGUUUAUCAAGAGUCAGGCAGAGGCAGACAGAUCUUUGUGAGUUUGAGGCCACUGGUCUACAGAGUGAG